AGUGGAUGGGGAGCAACAAAAGUUGUGUGUGUGUAAAGGUAGUGCCAAGAAAAGCUGAGUUGAUGUUGAACAAAAGAUUCCGGUACCCAAAACCGACACAGGUAGGCAAGUAGAGAAUACUAAGGGGCGCGAGGUAACUCUCUCCAAGGAACUCGGCAAAAUGACCCCGUAACUUCGGGAGAAGGGGUGCCACCGAGAGGUGGUCGCAGUGAAGAGUCCCAGGCGACUGUUUAGCAAAAACAUAGGUCUCUGCAAACUCGAAAGAGGAGGUAUAGGGGCUGACGCCUGCCCAGUGCCGGAAGGUUAAAGAAGUUGGUCAGUCGAAAGAUGAAGCUAGCGACUGAAGCCCCGGUGAACGGCGGCCGUAACUAUAACGGUCCUAAGGUAGCGAAAUUCCUUGUCGGGUAAGUUCCGACCCGCACGAAAGGCGUAACGAUCUGGGAGCUGUCUCGGAGAGAGGCUCGGCGAAAUAGGAUUGUCUGUGAAGAUACGGACUACCUGCAUUUGGACAGAAAGACCCUAUGAAGCUUUACUGUAGCUUGGAAUUGUGUUCGGGCUUGCUGUGCGCAGGAUAGGUGGGAGGCUAUGAAGGUAUGCUUGUGGGUGUACUGGAGCCGUCAGUGAGAUACCACUCUCAGGGGGCUAGAAUUCUAACUAAAGAAAGGACAGUUUCAGGUGGGCAGUUUGACUGGGGCGGUCGCCUCCAAAAAGGUAACGGAGGCGUACAAAGGUUCCUUCAGACUGGUUGGAAAUCAGUCGUAGAGUGCAAAGGCAGAAAGGAGCUUGACUGCGAGAAUUACAGUUCGAGCAGGGUGGAAACACGGUCUUAGUGAUCCGACGGUGCUGUGUGGAAGGGCCGUCGCUCAACGGAUAAAAGUUACUCUAGGAUAACAGGCUGAUCUCCCCCAAGAGUUCACAUCGACGGGGAGGUUUGGCACCUCGAUGUCGGCUCAUCGCAACCUGGGGCGGAAGUACGUCCCAAGGGUUGGGCUGUUCGCCCAUUAAAGCGGUACGUGAGCUGGGUUCAGGACGUCGUGAGACAGUUCGGUCCAUAUCCGAUGUAGGCGAGAGAAUAUUAAGAGGAGCCUUCCUUAGUACGAGAGGACCGGGAAGGACGCACCGCUGGUGUACCUGUUAUGAUGCCAAUUGUAAACGCAGGGUAGCCAAGUGCGGAGAGGAUAACCGCUGAAAGCAUCUAAGUGGGAAGCCCACCUCAAGAUGAGUAUUCUGUGUUAAGGUCACGGGAAGACGACCCGUAAAUAGGCACGAGGUGGAAGUGCAGUAAUGUAUGAAGCCGAAGUGUACUAAUAGACCGUCAGCUUGACC
rnacentral:rRNA from 1 species